rnacentral:lncRNA from 1 species
AAAUACAUAAUUUCCAUCCAAUACCAAAAAUAACAGACUUCUCUCCAACCAGUCUGGAUUUAUAUUAUUUAUGUAAUCACAGACUUUUUUUUGUCCAAAACACAUACAGCUUUCAAUAAACAACAAUCAUAAUCUUCCAAUAACUCCUCAUAUAAUUCAAUCACUCAGUAUUCUAAUUACAUAAUCAAUAACUCAUAAAUCAAUCUCUGAUUUAUUCCAUAGACUUACUUCUCAGUAUUCGAAACUAUUCAUUACUCUUCAAUAACAAAGAAAAACAAAGAGAUAGCACCAAGCUUAACCUCGGUUCAUGACUAUUGCAGUCUAGCCCUCAAAAUAACUUCUGCAACUCCUAUAUACUUACUUUUU